rnacentral:rRNA from 1 species
UACAGGGGGGGCAAGCGUUGUUCGGAAUUACUGGGCGUAAAGGGUCUGUAGGUGGCCAACUAAGUCAGACGUGAAAUCCCUCAGCUUAACUGGGGAACUGCGUCUGAUACUGGAUGGCUUGAGUGUGGGAGAGGAAUGCGGAAUUCCAGGUGUAGCGGUGAAAUGCGUAGAUAUGCGGAGGAACACCGAUGGCGAAGGCAAUCCCCUGGACCUGUACUGACGCUCAUGCACGAAAGCGUGGGGAGCAAACAGG